GACAAUUGUAAACAAACAACUUGAAACAAAUGGUCAAAUCAACAAGACCAGGUUCAUGACCUCUACAGAACUGCAGCAGCUCCCUCUGUUCUGAAAACCACAUGGGGGAAGAUGUUUAAGCUAACUUCAGUGAGAAUGUUCUCUGCUCUUGAGAAUGUCUGUUCUGGAGAAGAUUCAUAUUGGCUUUCAAGACAUUUACAGUGAGUUUUUGGCUGAAAUGACUAAUGUUGAAGUCACGUAAGGAAUGAAUUGUGGAAAGCCUUAUGUUGCUGAUACCUCUGCAAACAUAGUUUUCACAGGUAUGGAGUUACAACACAACCUCAUCGGACUGGAGUGGAAGGAGAAUACGAUGCAUAUCUGCAGGAAGAUGGCAUAAAAGUUUUAAAUUUCCACAACAAUCAGCUCUUAAAAACUUCCUGAAAACUUUGAAGGAAUAUCAGUAUACUGUAGCGCCCUCCUACAAUUCAUGCGGCAGUCCUUCCUGGAUGGAAACAAUUCCUUACUUCCAGGAACUAUGAUUCUGCUUGAACAAAAUUGCUUUUAGUGAAUGAUAGAUGUGAAUCUCCAACUCCUCCUUCAAGCACCUGACAGACAGAACUGCAUAUCAAACCAAGUUAAGCUGAUGAUUUAAACAUUUUGCCUAUCUGGAACUUUAAUUAUCUCAUCAUCUCCUUAUGUUUCAUUAUUAUGAAGCUGCAAGAAAUGACAACAACUAGAGAAGAGUGGCUAUAUAAACCAAAUACAACUUCAAGAACCAAAUUUAAAUGGAUGUAUUAUAUAUCCUAACACUGAAACAAAGCCAGACUAUUUUUUUAUGGCACUGAUUAUAAAUUAAAGUAGACUGAAAAUUUCAGGAGUCAGAUAACCUUUUUCCAUAUGCUUAAGUAAGGGUGUUUACUCCAAAACCAAAGUUUGUAUCCAAAAUUUAAAUGAUGCCACUGGCAUUCAGUAUGAAUUGAGCUGGAGUAGGUUUCAACACAGAAGGAGGAUUUGAAAAGCAGUCAUUUUAUUUUCCUUUCUCUUUUCUUCAUUCUUUAUGAAUUCAGCCAAGAUGUAUUGUAUGUAUCUUUUUCAGUGGCACCCUUUGUUUUGUGGAAAACAGUGAUUUUAGAAAUAUACAAAAAAUAAAUACGUUUAAA
rnacentral:lncRNA from 7 species